ACUCCUACGGGAGGCAGCAGUGGGGAAUAUUGCACAAUGGGGAAGCCCUGAUGCAGCCAUGCCGCGUGUGUGAAGAAGGCCUUCGGUUGUAAAGCACUUUCAGUAGGGAGGAAGGUAGUGUAGUUAACACCUGCACUAUUUGACGUUACCUACAGAAGAAGCACCGGCUAACUCCGUGCCAGCAGCCGCGGUAAUACGGAGGGUGCGAGCGUUAAUCGGAAUUACUGGGCGUAAAGCGCAUGCAGGCGGCCUGUUAAGUCAGAUGUGAAAGCCCGGGGGCUUAACCUCGGAAUUGCAUUUGAAACUGGCAGGCUAGAGUCUUGUAGAGGGGGUAGGAAUUUCAGGUGUAGCGGUGAAAUGCGUAGAGAUCUGAAGGAAUACCAGUGGCGAAGGCGGCCCCCUGGACAAAGACUGACGCUCAGAUGCGAAAGCUGGGGAGCAAACAGGAUUAGAUACCCUGGUAGGAUAGCG
rnacentral:rRNA from 1 species